rnacentral:rRNA from 1 species
UUCGUAGGUGGUGUGAUUAGUCGGGUGUUAAAUCCUCAGGUUCAACCUGAGAUCCGCAUUCGAAACGGUCACACUAGAGGAAGUCAGAGGUGCGUGGAACUCAAGGUGUAGGGGUGAAAUCCGUUGAUAUCUUGGGGAACACCAAAAGCGAAGGCAGCGCACUGGGACUCUCCUGACACUGAGGAACGAAAGCGUGGGUAGCGAACG